rnacentral:rRNA from 1 species
CGCAAUGGGCGAAAGCCUGACGGAGCAACGCCGCGUGAGGGGCGAAGGCCUCUGGGCUGUAAACCUCUUUUCUCAAGGAAGAAGAUAUGACGGUACUUGAGGAAUAAGCCACGGCUAAUUCCGUGCCAGCAGCCGCGGUAAUACGGGAGUGGCAAGCGUUAUCCGGAAUUAUUGGGCGUAAAGCGUCCGCAGGCGGCUUUUCAAGUCUGCUGUUAAAGCGUGGAGCUUAACUCCAUCAUGGCAGUGGAAACUGAAAGGCUUGAGUAUGGUAGGGGCAGAGGGAAUUCCCGGUGUAGCGGUGAAAUGCGUAGAUAUCGGGAAGAACACCAGUGGCGAAGGCGCUCUGCUGGGCCAUUACUGACGCUCAUGGACGAAAGCCAGGGGAGCGAAAGGGAUUAGAUACCCCUGUAGUCCUGGCCGU